rnacentral:rRNA from 1 species
CCUACGGGAGGCAGCAGUGAGGAAUAUUGGUCAAUGGACGAGAGUCUGAACCAGCCAAGUAGCGUGAAGGAUGACUGCCCUAUGGGUUGUAAACUUCUUUUAUAUGGGAAUAAAACGUUCCACGUGUGGGAUUUUGUAUGUACCAUAUGAAUAAGGAUCGGCUAACUCCGUGCCAGCAGCCGCGGUAAUACGGAGGAUCCGAGCGUUAUCCGGAUUUAUUGGGUUUAAAGGGAGCGUAGGUGGAUUGUUAAGUCAGUUGUGAAAGUUUGCGGCUCAACCGUAAAAUUGCAGUUGAAACUGGCAGUCUUGAGUACAGUAGAGGUGGGCGGAAUUCGUGGGGUAGCGGUGAAAUGCUUAGAUAUCACGAAGAACUCCGAUUGCGAAGGCAGUUCACUGGACUGCAACUGACACUGAGGCUCGAAAGUGUGGGUAUCAAACAGGAUUAGAUACCCCAGUAGUC